UCUGAAUAUGUUAUAUUCUUCCUCACCAAUUUUCACCCCAAGAAAAACAAAGUUGCGUCCCGCCGUCUGAAGCUAGCAGCCGGGUCGUCCCGCCGCCCUCCACCACAAUCUUCGUCGGACUGCUACUCAGCCGGAAAUCAUUAUCUCCUGCUGUCCGCCGCCCUCUGCCACAAUCUCCGCCAGAUCUGCGAUUCCAAUCGCCGGCAACCAAGAUGUCCACUCCGCAUGUCGCCUUUCCCUUGCUGUCCAAAGUCACCGCCGCCGUGAAGAGCCAUCAACGCGAAGCCUCCGCUGCUCUGCUGCUCUGCCGGAAACCAUCUACUGGCUGCCUCCGCCGCUCUGCUGCUUUGCCGGAAACCGUCGACGACCUAUUGUACAUUUUUGAUAUGUAGUUACAAGGUAUGAUACGAACAUGGAGUUACAAGGUAAUAACGAUUACUGAUUUCUGAAUUUUAAAUUUUCCCCUAUUUGAAACCCUAAUUGAAAGCUGUGGAAGAAACAUUUUCCCCCUUUCUGUUAAUUUCCCUUUUCAAUUUCCCCGUUGAAUUCGACGCUUUGAUAGUGUUAUUUAGGGCUCAGAGGCUCCAAUAAUUCCAAGGCGAUGCUCUCUUCUCUGCUGAACAAGAGGGUAAAGCUGCAAGACUAGCUCCGGAGUGUUGAAAAGUAGGUUGUUUAACCCUCUCUAAUUAUGAGAUUUGGAUUUGGUUUUGGUUUAUAUUCUGAAAUUCGUGCUAUAUAAGUGGUUGAAAUCAAUAGAUUACUUCACUCGAGUAUUCAAUAAAUUUAUUUUUAUUUUUAUAUUCUGGGUUGUUCUUCGGCUUAUUGUUCUACCUUGAUGUUGUUUAUUUUGGUCCUCCUCAAAAAGUUGAUGACAAUUUGAUGAACAUUAUAUUUUGUAUUGGGUAGUUAAACUAUUUAUUGAGUUUUUUUUCUCACCCUUUAUUGUUUCUUUCUUGUCACGGUUUGUGUUUUAGAUAAUUCUAUCGAUAUAAUAUCACUCGGACUUGGUACUUGUUGAUAGUCUAUAACAAAUUUUAUCAUUCUUCUCGUGCCUUGUGUUUGAAUGCGAAUGUCCAUACCUUCUGCCUAGGAGUCCUUAGUAUUUUGUUCCAGAUGCUUUUAGUAACUAUGGUCUGCGGUUAGCAUUUUAGCUCAUAAGAGAUAAAUGUGAUACAGAAAAUCCAUAAGAUUUGAGCUUGGUUCCAUUUACCAUUUUCCUGGUUGAGUUCAAAUGUUCCAGUUUAGUUAUCUAUGUAAUUAAUCUUCAUCAUAUUGCAGUUAUCCUAUGUUUCAGCUGGUUCAAAUUGUAAAGCUGUAAUGUACUAGUCAUUAGACUAAUCGUUUGAUGCUACAGACGAUAGUAGAAGCUCUAGCCUCAAUCUGUAAUCACUACCCAAUGUCUUAGCCUCAAACAGAACAUCUCACGUUUCCUAAUAAAUAAUUUCUUAAACUUACCGAGAUAAUGAUACGAGUAUUGUCUUUACUUGUUUGCUAGAUCAGUAAAACAAGCCAUAAAUUUGAUAUCUAUGUGAAUAAGUGAGACAGACUGAAAAAGUUGUUGGGUUAAUUUGUAUACCAAUAAAUUUCUGUUUUGUUCCACUUUGUCUUGCUUCAGGAACCAUGCCAAAGGUGAAGACAAACCGAGUAAAGAUACCAGAGGGGUGGGAGCUGAUUGAACCUACUCUACGUGAACUACAAGCAAAGAUGAGAGAAGGCGACUAUAUAUCAGCAGAAGGCAUUGGAUAUCAAUGAAAUAGAGCUGGGGCUUGACCAUCUAGAUACAAUGAAGAGCUAUGGGGAUCUAUCAGUAUUUUAUUAUCGCCUUCAGCAUAUUGAAUUGGCUCUGAAAUAUGUCAACCGUGCAUUGUUUCUUCUCCAUUUCACAUGUGGGCUUUCUCACCCAAAUACAGCAGCUACUUACAUAAAUGUAGCUAUGAUGGAAGAAGGCAUGGGAAAUGUUCAUGUUGCUCUCAGAUAUCUACAUGAAGCCCUUAAGUGCAACCAAAGACUAUUAGGAGCGGAUCACAUCCAGGUUAUAGCUGAAAACCAAUCGUUUUCUGGUAUUCCCAUUCUGAGGAGCACAGAAGGCUUAUUU